rnacentral:rRNA from 1 species
GAGUUUGAUCAUGGCUCAGAUUGAACGCUGGCGGAAUGCUUUACACAUGCAAGUCGAACGGCAGCACGGACUUCGGUCUGGUGGCGAGUGGCGAACGGGUGAGUAACAUAUCGGAACGUAUCCAAUAAUGGGGGAUAACUAAUCGAAAGGUUGGCUAAUACCGCAUACGCCCUACGGGGGAAAGCUAGGGACCUUCGGGCCUGGCGUUAAUGGAGCGGCCGAUAUCUGAUUAGCUAGUUGGUGGGGUAAAGGCCCACCAAGGCGACGAUCAGUAGCUGGUCUGAGAGGACGACCAGCCACACUGGAACUGAGACACGGUCCAGACUCCUACGGGAGGCAGCAGUGGGGAAUUUUGGACAAUGGGCGCAAGCCUGAUCCAGCCAUUCCGCGUGAGUGAAGAAGGCCUUCGGGUUGUAAAGCUCUUUCGCAAGGGAAGAAAACUUAGAUACUAAUAUUAUCUGAGGUUGACGGUACCUUGAUAAGAAGCACCGGCUAACUACGUGCCAGCAGCCGCGGUAAUACGUAGGGUGCGAGCGUUAAUCGGAAUUACUGGGCGUAAAGCGUGCGCAGGCGGUUUUGUAAGUCAGAUGUGAAAUCCCCGAGCUCAACUUGGGAACUGCGUCCGAACUACAGACUAG